GACGAACCGUGCGAACGUUGUUCGGAAUCACUGGGCUUAAAGGGCGCGUAGGCGGCACGGCAAGUCAGGAGUGAAAGCCCGGGGCUCAACCCCGGAAUGUCUUUUGAAACUGCCGAGCUAGAGUGCGGAAGAGGCAACUGGAAUUCCCAGUGUAGCGGUGAAAUGCGUAGAUAUUGGGAAGAACACCUGAGGCGAAGGCGGGUUGCUGGGCCGACACUGACGCUGAGGCGCGAAAGCCAGGGGAGCGAACGGG
rnacentral:rRNA from 1 species